GGGAGCGCGGCACUGCCGGCAGCCAGCGGGGAACCGAGGGGAGGGGAGAGGCUCGGCCUGAGGCGGCGGCCAAUGGGACGGCAGGGCGGGAUGGCCCAGCGAUGGUCGGCCGUGUGGGCACCUGCUCCAGUCGGUGCCUGCAGUUCUAAGCGGUGCCAUGAUCGAUGCAGGGGGGGCGGGCUGUGCCCGGUGAGCGCUGUGCACAGCUCUUAUCGUUCUAAGUGAGAGAGAUUAUGAGGGAAUGGGCUCCCUCGGGACCUGCGGGCUGCCCUGCUGAGCGGGACUCGGGCUGGGGCACAGCGGCCUUCCUGAAGGACAAACGAAGGCGUCAGUGAGCGCUGUGGUGGGAGAGCUCCGGGCUGAGAUCCACCAAGCAGUGACUGAGGAGCAGGUCCAAACAGGAAAAGACCAGACUGCUUGAACAGGAAGCUUCUGCUGAGACUCCAGGAAAAAAAAAAAAAGAAGUGAUUACCAUCCUGAGAGUACUCAGCCUCCUGAGCUGGAAGAUGAUGAUGAGGAAGAGAAUAACACCUCCAUAAUUCAGGAGGAAACAGCAGCUCACUACUCAAGAAAAUAAUAUCCAGUGAUAAAAACACCGAGUACCUGGACACUUAAUCAAAGGAUGGGAUGCAGAGUUACUUGGUAGGCUCCAUGUCACCUGAAAAAAUAGCAUUUCCUGGGUGAAUAAUAUGGAAAGGAGGCAUUAGAGGUCUGUGGAGCCAGGGAUUGCAGCCUUCAGUAUUAAGCAGCCUCUGCUGCUCCCUAAAAAGCAUGCAGUGAUCAUUGCAGCUACAGGAAAGGGGAGAAGAACUGACAGCGAAUUAGGCAGCAGUAGUGAUAAGACUAUAUAAGACUUGCCCUGCUGCAUAAAACUCCUGUGAUGAUAAGGGAGAUAUCUGCAGACUGAUUCCACUUUUGGCCAAGAACUAGCCCAGAUAACCUCUUCUCUCCUUCCCCUCAACUGCACAUAGCAGGGCAUCCUAGAAGACUGAUACCUAUGGUACUGAAGCAUUUGAGCUUGUGGCACUUGGGCAGUGCUCCUUUCUAAGAACUACAGAGGUUAUCUCAGCAUGUACUCCUAUGAACAGAGGCAAAUAUCUGCGGUAUUGAUACAUAUAAAAAUUUGGGCUAUGAAAAAUCCUGUUGGGUCAUUGCAAACCUUAACAGAUAAAGUGCAAAUACUACAACCUGUUGUUGGUGUUGACCUGGCCACUGGUUUCUAAUCAUUAUGCCCUGAAGAAAAAAAAUAGUGGAGUACUUAUAGAUAGAGCCUCAUUACUCCAACAUCCAAGGGAUGCUUCCUUUUCAGAACCAUGCUCAGGAUUAUAAUGUGUAGAAGUUCUGUGGUUUGCCCAUCUGUACUCUGCUGUGAGUUGCCAACUUAAUGCUGCUAUUUACAGCUAUUCAGGAAGUUCUCUCGCCUCAUAUUCCUCGUCUUCACACAUGGAUGACUUUAAUUCUUUGGGGUCAUUUCUAUAUGCCCACUUUUGGGUUCUUUUUUUGGGCGUUUGAUACAAAAUUAUACUGAGUAUAUUUCUCAGUAGCAUUAGAUAAUAAGCUUGACUGCAAGUCCGUAACUCAUGUUUUCAGCACAGCCACAUCUCAAUAAAAAGACAUCAAUAAUUGCUAUUGCUGUUUUCCAGCAUUUACUACUGUUACAAACAGUAUGGAUUCUUGUUCUUGGAUCACAGAUGGAUGGGGCCCUGGGCAGCCUGGUGCAGUAUUAGAUAUGAGGUUGGUGGCCCUGCCUGCAGCAGGGGGGUUGGAGCUUGAUGAUUCUUGAGGUCCCUUCCAAGCCAAGCCAUAUAUGUUUGUAGGGAAUUGAAGACAUUUAAGAAAUGAAAAUAUAAAGAUAGUUCAACCUCAGCCUGCUACAGUCCAGUUUGGUUUUUAACUGCCCAGACCUUAGAUCUAAGCUUUGGUGAUAAGGGUGUAGGUAGAUUUUUUACUUUUUUUCCUGAGUUAAGAACAUAGUUUGCCUUCUCACUGUAAGGGAGAUGAGCAUUACUCUCCCUGUGCCCACCUACAAGAGCCACUAAAGGAGCUCUACUGCUCUCUGAGACCUA